rnacentral:rRNA from 1 species
UACGGGGGGGGCAAGCGUUGUCCGGAAUCACUGGGCGUAAAGGGCGCGUAGGUGGCGCGACAAGUCAGUGGUGAAAGCUCGAUGCUUAACAUCGAGUCGGCCACUGAUACUGUUGGGCUUGAGCACUGUAGAGGCUAAUGGAAUUCCGGGUGUAGCGGUGGAAUGCGUAGAGAUCCGGAAGAACACCGGUGGCGAAGGCGAUUAGCUGGGCAGUUGCUGACACUGAGGCGCGACAGCGUGGGGAGCAAACAGG